GAUGAACGCUGGCGGCGUGCCUAAUACAUGCAAGUCGAGCGAACGGACGAGAAGCUUGCUUCUCUGAUGUUAGCGGCGGACGGGUGAGUAACACGUGGAUAACCUACCUAUAAGACUGGGAUAACUUCGGGAAACCGGAGCUAAUACCGGAUAAUAUUUUGAACCGCAUGGUUCAAAAGUGAAAGACGGUCUUGCUGUCGCUUAUAGAUGGAUCCGCGCUGCAUUAGCUAGUUGGUAAGGUAACGGCUUACCAAGGCAACGAUGCAUAGCCGACCUGAGAGGGUGAUCGGCCACACUGGAACUGAGACACGGUCCAGACUCCUACGGGAGGAAGCAGUAGGGAAUCUUCCGCAAUGGGCGAAAGCCUGACGGAGCAACGCCGAGUGAGUGAUGAAGGUCUUCGGAUCGUAAAACUCUGUUAUUAGGGAAGAACAUAUGUGUAAGUAACUGUGCACAUCUUGACGGUACCUAAUCAGAAAGCCACGGCUAACUACGUG
rnacentral:rRNA from 1 species